rnacentral:rRNA from 1 species
AUUGAACGCUGGCGGCAGGCCUAACACAUGCAAGUCGAGCGGAUGAGUGGAGCUUGCUCCAUGAUUCAGCGGCGGACGGGUGAGUAAUGCCUAGGAAUCUGCCUGGUAGUGGGGGACAACGUUUCGAAAGGAACGCUAAUACCGCAUACGUCCUACGGGAGAAAGUGGGGGAUCUUCGGACCUCACGCUAUCAGAUGAGCCUAGGUCGGAUUAGCUAGUUGGUGAGGUAAAGGCUCACCAAGGCGACGAUCCGUAACUGGUCUAAGAGGAUGAUCAGUCACACUGGACCUGAGACACGGUCCAGACUCCUACGGGAGGCAGCAGUGGGGAAUAUUGGACAAUGGGCGAAAGCCUGAUCCAGCCAUGCCGCGUGUGUGAAGAAGGUCUUCGGAUUGUAAAGCACUUUAAGUUGGGAGGAAGGGCAGUAAGUUAAUACCUUGCUGUUUUGACGUUACCAACAGAAUAAGCACCGGCUAACUUCGUGCCAGCCGCCGCCGUAAAAC